rnacentral:lncRNA from 1 species
CUACACCUCCUCCUGCAUCUCCCUUGAAUGAAAUUGCAGCUGUUAGAGAUGGACCUCUUGCAGUUCCGCCCCCACAUUCUCCUCCAGCAACUGUUAGAGCUGGGUCCCCUGCAGCUCCUCCACCACCACCUCCUCCUCCAAUGCCACCUUUGAAUGAAAAUUUAGCUUCUGGAUCUGCACCUUCUCCACCUUCUCUUCAUUCCAGGCAAGCAGCAAGUCCUGCAGCUUCAUCAUCGGCACCCCCACCACCUCCUCCUCCAAUGCCACCUUUGAAGGAAAAUUUAGCUUCUGGAUCUGCACCUCCUCCACCUCCACCACCUCCUCUUCAUUCCAGGCAAGCAGCAAGUCCUGCAGCUUCAUCAUCGGCACCCCCACCGCCACCGCCACCUGCCCCUGUCUUGUCAUCAAGUUCUUCUCAAGUUCCUGCUGCCCCACCACCUCCUGCUCUCUUUCCUAAAAAGACAAAUGGUGUUUCUCUGGAACCUCAGGCUGUAGGUAGAGGAUCUUCAGCUCCUGCACCACCACCUUUU